UACAGAGGGGGCAAGCGUUGUUCGGAAUUACUGGGCGUAAAGGGCGCGUAGGCGGCCUUCUAAGUCGAACGUGAAAUCCCCGGGCUCAACCCGGGAACUGCGUCCGAUACUGGAAGGCUUGAAUCCGGGAGAGGGAUGCGGAAUUCCAGGUGUAGCGGUGAAAUGCGUAGAUAUCGAGAGGAACACCUGCGGCGAAGGCGGGUUGCUGGGCCGACACUGACGCUGAUGCGCGAAAGCCAGGGAGCGAACAGG
rnacentral:rRNA from 1 species